CACCAUAGGGAGAAAGUUUGCUGUCCUGAGGGCUGGACUCAGAAGGAUGAUCACUGUUUCAUCUACAAAGCUGAGCCAAGGACCUUUAUAGAUGCAGAGAGGAUCUGCAACCUGAUUGGUGGGAAUCUGGCCUCAAUCGCCAACAUUAUAGAAAAUGCUGUCGUUUAUCAACUGGUUGCAAAAGGCGGUGGGGAUGAAGCCUGGAUUGGACUCCAUGAUGCCGUUAAG